rnacentral:lncRNA from 1 species
GCCAAGGUUGUUAUUAAGACCUACAAACAAAUGAAAAUGGCUUUAGACACUAAAAUAACUAAAGAAACACAACGUAAACGCACAAGAACAAGCCAAUUAAGUCGCAUAAAUAUGCUCCUAUCAGUGCAGUGUGGCGCUGGGAGCACGUUGGAUCUGGGUCGAAGGGACUAUUGGCACGACUUAGGCCUGUGAUGCACUUUGAGCCUACGAUGCUGGGGCAGCAGCUUGGGCCGGCUCGUGACGGGCCUGGCUCGGUUGCCUUAUGGUGUGGGCUGCUUGGGCCACCUCCUGGGCUGCUAAGGCAGCUACUCCCUGCUCUCCGUGGGUUUGUUGCUAUGGAGCUAACCCACUUCCCACUACCACAGUGGUCCCCGUGGCUGCCAUAUUGGUGGUUCUUCGUGGUGGAAAAGUUGAUUCUCUUGCCAUCCUGUUAAGCCUCGUGGAUCGUCGUGGUAGGGCUACAUCGCAAUUUCCAUCUUUUGAUCUGGAUCUUUAAAUGUAGGAAAUUUCGUUCGUUGUGGUUUUCGAAUUUCCCGCCAUUGUAUUUUUCUCCUACGUCUAUUCAAAGAAUUAAAAAAAUCUAGGAAUAAGAACAUAUGAAAAAUUUAUGAACGAAUGAGAAAUGAGAAACUUUGAAUGCAAGAGUCUUUUUCAAGCGUGUAAAUCAAACUCUUAAUGAACGCACCAAUUUGUGGAUGCAAAUUUUCGCCGUCUUCUCAUUUGACAAAAAUGCACCUGCAAAAUAAUAACACCUAAGAUUAAGGUUAAAAGUCUCAUGCACCCACGAUGAAUAGGGGGCUUUGGUCAAAGAAUUUCCAAUGCCAAAGUUAGAAUUCUGAAGGAAAAAAAAUGUGUUUAGGAAUUUGUAGGUAGCAAAAUGGCUUACUUUUUAGUGGGAUAAUGGGCUAUUUAUAGGGGAGUGAUAGGCCAUAUUUGGAGAAUAGUGGCCAGCCAUAUAUGAUGUAUUUGGAGAAUAAUUGUAAUAUAUUAUGUGAAAUAAUAUCUUGCAAUUAACAUGGUAAUUAAUCCUAAAUUAAAUAGGAAGUUUUGGGAGUUACCUUUUAAAUAAGUAUUUGAUGAGGAGUGAUGAGUGGGAUUUGAAUAAAUACCAUUUUGAUCACCUUUGACUCUUCAUUGAUUGAGCUGUUAUUGUCCAUUGCAUGCGCGUGAGAAUUCUAAUGUGCCUCAAGGGUAAUUUUAUCCUUUUAACCCAAAAGUCCACGUGUGACCUCCAUAAUUUUUUUGAUUAUUUUUUGCUCUGCAGCCAUCACGAUUUAUUUGAAGCAAGGGAAUAUGUUGCGAUGGGUUAAUAAUAGUGGAAUGGCCAAAAUCUACAAAAGGCUUGAUUCAAUUAGAUGAUUCAUUGUUACAACGAUUUGGAUUUAAGUGGUCCGCAAGAAGUUUUGUCGUUCAUAUUCAUAUGUUUCCUAACAAAUAAAUCACAUUUAGUCUUAAAAUUGACAAGUUAAGCGGUGUGAUGCUUAUAAUAGGUGACCGAUAAAUUAACCGGUAGCUAUUUAAUGCAUAAGAGCAUUGAACAUUGGAUUCGUAUUACAUAGUCUUUCUGAUGUCUAAUACGGCAUGUCAAAUGAUACCUAAGUUUGGCCUUAAGGCUUUAAACUCUUGUGGUAAAGAUCAUUAGAAUUCAAGCCCAAAAUUAACAUUUCCGUCAACUCUCCGUUAACAUUCCCCCCACCACCGAGACACUUUCAACUUGCCUCCUCUCUGUUCGCCUCUCUUUCUUUCUAUCUCUCUAUCUCUUCAGGUUCCCUUCGUUGUUCAUGCCAUGGUUGAUGUACAAUUGCUCAGAUGAGAAUGAGAGGCUAUAAGAUUUCAGGUCAAAUCCCCCCUGAGAUUUGGCAGUUGAAAGUUGAAACAAUUGCAAGUUCCGAGCCUGAACAGGAACAACUUGAAGGGUGAUUCCAACGAAAAGGAUUACUGAGUUUUGGUUGAUCAUGUUUUGGAUGAUGAAAUACUGUCAUUUGUUUGAUGUUUGAGGGUUGAUAGGAGCAUAUUUAUGCGACUUAAUUGGCUUGUUCUCGUGCAUUUAUGUUAUGUUUCGUUAGCUAUUUUAGUGUUUAAAGUUACUUUUGUGUGUUUUCAGAUUCCAAAGCCGAAGUGUGCAAAAUGAUGUAAUUUGGAGCCUUUUGGAGCAAAAGGAAUGGAUGAAUUGAAGACUUGAAGAAAUUAGGAUUCCUAAUCAACGAAGGAUUCCUAAUUGAAAAAGGAUUCCUAAUUGAAGAAGGAUUCCUAAUCGACGAAGGAUUCCUACUCCAAGAAGGAUUCCUAAUGGAAGAUGGAUUCCUAAUCACAUGAGGAUUCCUAGAAGAACAAGGAUUCCUACUCCAAGAAGGAUUCCUACUUGAAAUAGGAAAGUUAAGCCAAGGUUUCCUACUUUGGUUUGACCUUUCCUAAAUGUUCCUAAGUUUUAUCAACUUUGAAGGCAUCCUAAGUAUUCUAGGACAUCAAAUACACAUUCCCUUUAUUUUCUAGUCUUUGCCGCACAUCACCUUACCUUUUCUCCUUUUAAUUCUGAUUUCUUACCUUUUCUUGGAGGAUUUGGAGAUUUAAACUUAGCCAAUUUCAGUCCCAAACCGUGCCAUACCCUUUCCUAUACAUAUAUGUUAUUGCCGCAUCCCCCUUGGCACUUUCCUUUAAUUUUCUGAUUUGAUUUCCUAUUUCUAGAAGCUUUUGACUUAAUUUUUUAUUACCUAAAUAGCCUAGGGUUUUUAAUUUCCUAAUCCCUUUAAAUAAACAUCCUUGUGCAGCCACAAACAUCCCCAUUCAUCCAGAAACUCACCAUUCACGCCAGAAACUGAACUCCAUCUUCAACAGCCCCAUUCUACCACCAUUCACCCAAAUUUCUGCCAAAAAUUCCACCAUUCACCAUAACCUACCUACAUCCAUCCACCACCACAAUUCACCACAAAUCAUCACCAAACACCCUUGUGUCGCAGCAAAGAAGAAAGAAGGAGACCCUUGGACGUGCUUGCCAUUCAAGACGUUGGAUUGUUGGAGCAUUUCUAGGUGUAAUCUUUCUUUUGUUUUCAAUGUUUAAGUUUAUAUAUCUUUGUUUUGCGAACAUGAGGAACUAAGCCCUUCUUGGCUAGGGGGCUAUUCAAAACCAUGAUUAUAUUUGCAUUAUGAAUUGAUUACCUUCAGUUGUUAUUUCAUAAGUUGUGAAUUCAAUUUGCUUAACCGUUUGAUUGAUAACUUAAUCUUGUAUGUUUAUUAAGAGUGCACACUUAGUUUUCAUGCAAGGAUUUGAAGCUAAAAUAUAAGGGAGUUUCACCUAAUAGUUACAAACUUAUAUUUGCAAGUAGUGGAGGACGCUUAUAAACGAUCGUGUUAAGUGAAUUCUUGGCAAAAGUUUCAUGCUUUUCAUAGUAACAAUUGCCUCGUCAAUGCUUAUAGUUUUCAUGAAACUUAAUGAUCUUUGAUUGUACCUUUAUUGUGCUUUUCACAUAGGGGACUUUUAGAGAAUGCUUUGAAUUGUUGUAUGUGCUUUCCCAUCCAAUUCAUUAACUUAAGGAGAACUUGAAGGUUAAAAAAGUGUUGUCACAGUUAACCUGGAGUAUUGAGUUUCACGACUUAUUGAGAGAAGCAAUUGGAAAUCAAUUUGAAUGCAAGUGUGUCAUGUGUGGAGAAGAACUCCCUAGUUAACCCAUCACCCAUCAAUUCACCUAAAUUUGUCUAAGAAUAUGUUUAAAUUGUUUUUGUUUUGCUUUACUUAUUUUCGUCCAAAACCAACCCCCACUUUACUUUAUUGAGUCAUAUUAGUUAGAACUUGUUUUAGAUUGUGUUUUUAAGUGUUUUGAGUCAAGAUAUAAUCAAUUUUCCUCCAAAACUUGUGUUAGUAGUAGAAACUGCCUUAGUGUUGUUUUUAGGCAGUUUUGAGUCUUUUAAGUUUGUUUUGAGUCUUGUGAGUCUUUUUAAGUGUUUUUAAGUUUAUUAUGUGUUUCUAAGCCAGUUUAGAGUAGAUUAGCAAUCCCUCCUAAUCCCCGGUCCAGAACGAUCUCUACUUAUCCAUACUACAAUUGUCAACAAGAGGAUUUAAUUUGUGUGUUAAGUUAAUUUACGCAUCAAGGGUCAAUGGGUCAUUGAACUAGUUGACUUGGCACUAUUAAGCAUUACUUUCUACAUCUGGUAGCUAUGCAGCACUAUCAAGAUUCCUAUGAGCAUACCAUGUUUUGUUACUCGACAUAAUCCAGAUUCCUAUGAAAUAACAAACAAGCAAUCCAAUUGAAGCUCCCACAUAAGAAAGGAUAACUAAAAUUUUCAAUUUUACUUCUAUUGGCUAGUGCUGCAAAAAAAAAAGGGAGUUUUCACGAAAAACUCGUGGUACUGUUCACUUUAACGAAAAACCACAUUUUUACACUAAAAAGUCAAACAUAGUACUAUUCACUUUACCCUUUAAUUUGUCCUUAUUGUUAAAACUCAAAGUUUUCAAGCCCUUUUCAUUGGUUUUCCUUAAAAAAAAAGCCUAGUUGUUUUGGUGGAUAAAAGAGUUUUGAAUGAAAUCAAAGCAUGGAGCAAAGGAUUCAUAUCCUUUGACUGAAUGGAAUUUUUUUUUCUCUUUCGGUUAUGAAGGCAGAAUAGGUUUAAAAAGAGAGUUGACGAAAAUGUUAAUUUUGGGUUUGAAUCUAAUGGACUUCACCGAGAGGGUUUAAAUUCGAAUUUUUUCACCACGUAGGCUAACUUCCGAUUACCCUAUCACCACGGAGAUCAUUAAUCCAAUUUAGCCUAUUUAUUUAGAUAUGACAUACUUAAAAUAAAGGUAUGAGAAAAUGAUUGGGGUGUUUAUCUCUCUUAUCGUUCCUUCUCAUAACAUGCCGUGCACUAAUUCUAGUUACUUUUUUCUUUUUAUGCACAUGCAUGUUUUAUUUCUUCGUGUUAAUUCUCUAAUCAAUUUAUUCAACUCCUAUGUCCAAAAAAUAGCCAAAUGUCUCAACUUCAAAGUCCAAAAAUAAGUAAAUGUGUACAGGUGACAAAAGGGGUUUGCAUAAGUCACUACUUGUUGUAAAAUAGACGAUAUAUGUGUAGUGAUAUAUCAAUUAAAGGCUUUUUAGCCAAAAUGGUUUCUAAGAUUUGCAUAACUCCUCACUUUGGUCCCUAAGAUUUGAAAUCAAUAAAAUUGGUCCUUGAGUUUGUCUACAAUCAAUCAUUUUGGUCCUUCUAUGAAAAAUCUCCAUAAAAUAAGGAUAAAAUGACAAAAAUAUCCUCAAUUUUUGUCAAAUCAUUUUGGCCUAUUGUUUAUUAAAUUAAGGGUAAUUUUGUCAUAUUGAACUUUAUUUAACAUAAUUUUCACCCAAGGACUAAAAGCCUAAAUUAGAUAGGGACACCUUAGAUGUGGUCCCUAACUACCAAUGUUCUUUUACUGAAACCUUUGUGCUUUUUAGUUUUUUAUUGAAGUCACUGACAUUAAUGUAAUAAUGUAUUUCUAUGUAGGUUAUUAUAUUGGUAAAUCAAAAAUGAAAUUUGUAGUUAUUUAUAUUAAUGAGGUUUUAAAUAAAACCCAUAAUUUAUGGGAUUAAAAAUAUUAAAGAUAAAUUAUACUCUCCAAUAUAUUUUGUGUGUGUGUGUGUGUACAUGUGUACGUUCAUCAAAACUAACCAAAAAUUUAUUGUAUCAAAACAUGGGUACAUUUUUCAAAAAACAAAAAAAAAAAAAAAAAAGAUAUUAGACUUAAUAACAUUAUUAAAUUUCUUCUAUUAAACUUGACAUGGAUACAUUCUCAAAUCAAGGAAAAAGAAUGUACCCAUAUAAGUUUAAAAAAUGGAUUACAGAAAAGAUUAAAUGAAUUUUAUAUAAAAAAAAAAUGGGUACUUUUUCAUAUAACAAAUUGGUAUAUUUAAGAAUGGGUACAUAUAAGAUUAAAAAAUUUAAUGGGUACAAAAUUAUUCUAAUUUUAUUUUUUAUAUUUUGUAAAUGUUUAAAUUGAAAAUUAAUUAGGAGUUUAAAAAGGGUGUGAGUAUUAAAACUCUAAAUCAAUUACUAAUUUUUAUUAUAAAAAUUAUGUAACUUCCAUGUAAUUCAUUAAUAUAUUAAUGAUUGGGACUUUGAUCAAAAUCUAAAAACUAGUAAGGUCUUCGUCAAUAAACAUUAGAAACUAGGGACCAAAUACUAAUUUUUCCAAUUAAAUAAGAUACAAUACUUAUGAGAUUCAGCGAGUGUGCCUACAUUCUUGGGGAAGCAUCAGUAGUGUCUUUCAUUAUCUGAAAUAAUAGGAAGACAAAGAUGACUCUCACUUUAAUGUAUAUAAUAUCACUAAAGUAGCUAAUAAUUUUUCUCUCCUUUCUAAACCAGAGUAGCCCUCUUGCUUUCACAUAGAGAUUAUGAGAAUUGGUUUAUCUUCCUUACAAACCAAUCCUUUUAUAUAAUAUCACUAAAAGUAGCUCAUAAUUUUUCCCUUUCUCUCCGUGAGUGAGAGAUAUUCUUGUAAACACGAAAUUUUCCUACGACAAACGAGACAAGAACACGUGUACAAAAUAAUAUUUUGUAUUAAUGAUUUAGGGGUUACAAUCUCUCUCAAAUUUGAUCCUCUGAUUCGAUCUCCGUAAGGUGUUGAUUUGUGGAUUGUGAUGCUGAUCCAAGGGUCGUCGAGGCUAGAUCUCGGAUGAAUGGUUGAAAGCUUCUUCAAGGGGGCCUUUUGGGCUUGAUCUUGAAGGUUGAUGGAUGAACGGAUCUUCAAGGGCUUUUGGGCUUGGUCUUGAAGAACGGUUGGAUAUGUGGAUUUGUUGAUGUUGUUGAUCCAAAGGGUCGUUGGGGCUUGAUCUUAGGAUGAACAAAUGAUGAACGAUGAACACUUUCUUCAAGGGUCGUCGGGGCUUGAUCUUGAAUUGGUGGAAGUUCCUUCAAAGGGUCGUUGGGGCUUGAUCUUGAUAAACAGUUGAUGAAUGGAUCUUCAAGGGCUUUUGGGCUUUAUCUUGAAGAACGGUUGGAUAUGUGGAUUUGUUGAUGUUGUUGAUCCAAAGGGUCGUUGGGGCUUGAUCUUAGGAUGAACAAAUGAUGAACGAUGAACGCUUUCUUCAAGGGUCGUCGGGGCUUGAUCUUGAAUUGGUGGAAGUUCCUUCAAAGGGUCGUUGGGGCUUGAUCUUGAUAAACAGUUGAAUGAAUGGAUCUUCAAGGGCUUUUGGGCUUUAUCUUGAAGAACGGUUGGAUAUGUGGAUUUGUUGAUGUUGUUGAUCCAAAGGGUCGUUGGGGCUUGAUCUUAGGAUGAACAAAUGAUGAACGAUGAACGCUUUCUUCAAGGGUCGUCGGGGCUUGAUCUUGAAUUGGUGGAAGUUCCUUCAAAUGGCCGUUGGGGCUUGAUCUUGAAGGUUGGGUUGACGAAGAACGAAGAGAGCUUUCUUGAUCCUUCGGAAUUUUCUUGGGAGCUUUGGAGUUUCAAAGCUUCAAGGUUUUGGUGUGAGGUGAAUUGGUGAUGAAUUGGUUAUGAAUUGGUUAUGAAUUUUUUUUUAAAAUGAAUGCAUUAGCUUCCUACUUAUAGAAUUUUCCAAGGCCUAAUUUUGAAUAUAAUAUGCAGAUGAAAUAAAUCAUUUUUUGCCAGGUGUUGACAUGUGUCCUAUUUAAUGACUUUUUCGAUUUAUUUUGAUUUUUCGUUUAGUCACACGCUAUGUGUAAAAUUUAUGUGACACGUGCGCGUUGAAAUUGUAACUAUUGGUCAACAUUUAUUUCACCGAAAUUUCGAUGUCUACAAAUGCCCCCACUUCAAGGCGCGUCGUAUACAUGUGCUUGUCACGUGCAGGAGAUGCGUUUUGAAGUCCCUUAGUGUAGAUGUCGAUCUAAGGGCCAUCAAGGCUUGAUCUUGAAUUGGGCUGGAAAUUUCUUCAAUGGCCGUUGAGGCUUGAUCUUGAAUUGGGCUUGAGAUUUCUUCAAGGGCCAUUGAGGCUUGAUCUUGAAGGUUGAAAUUGGACCACAAGGAGCUUCAUGUGGUAGAUGAUCUUUGGCUUUGGUAGUAGAUGAAUUGGCACGUAUUUGUUUUUACGCUUGUUGACUUUCCACAGCUUUAAUCUCGAACUCGUUUGAAAGGUUUCAAAUCAGACUCCUUCUGCUGGGUUGAUUUGAUUGUGCAGUCUGCAUUCUUCUCUGUUUGUUUCUUCUGCACGGCAGGCAGGCACGAGGUAGGGGUGAUGGUCUGUUUCUUUUUUUUCAAUCUUUCCAAGUGCCCACCAUUUACUUUCUUUCUCCUUGUCCCUAGCUGAGGAUGAAUUAGCACAUUGUCUCCACAUGCUUCGAGGUAUCAUUUUCACUUCCCUUAUCUGUUCCCCAGGCAGAUGUGGUAGACGAAGAGGAAGCAUAAGAUGUUGAAACAUGAGUACCUCGAAAGCAAGGCUAGGUAAACAAUCGGGAAUGGAUUCUAGGCAGUCGGUGCUAGAUCGGAAGAUUGAUACCAAGUGCUGACUAAUUGCUCUCUUUCUCCUUGUCCCGCAGGUGAAAACAAUGACAAGGAGAAAGACAGGGAGAAAGCAUGAUAUGAGAUACUCUUGCUUUCAACCUUCAUGAUAUGAAAUACUUUUGCUUUUGAUGAGUUGUUUGCAGAGGUACCCCAAGGAAUAAUGAACACUGACUCGAGAGGCUUCAUUGGGAAGGCAUUCUCGGAGAUGAAGAAAGGUUAUGUAUGUCUGCCUUGUUAUAGAGGGUGAAGGUUGACUUUUAUAUGAAUUAAUAACUGGUACUAUUCUUUCACUCUUGUCAGCAACCGUUGGAUGAAUGAACAGUAAACUUCACGUGUUUUCUACUUCACCAGAAAUCUUCAACAAAUUGCCCGUGAUUUGCGCAAAGCUAAGUGUACAUGUGACAAAUGCUGACACGUCUGUAAAAGCAGAUGCCUCUUCGAUAUCUGAAAUCGGCGCUUCAACAAACUGCCCGUGAUUUCCACAAAGCUGAGUAUGCAUGUCACAGAUGCUGACACGUUUGGAAAAGCAUAUGCCUCUUCAAUUUUUGAGCUUGCCUCUUCAAGUUCUGAGCUCCGUCGAGUGCAGAGGCUGCAUGUGACAAGUGCGGACAAGUCUGGAAAGGAAGAUUGGCUCGUGAUUUCUGAGCAAGCCCAGCUUUUGAGAAAGCUAACACCUUUUCGAUUUUUGAAUUGGCCUCUUCAAAUUCUGAGCUCGCCUCUUCAAUCUCUGAAAUCUCGUCGAAUGCUAAUUUUUAUAGGGGCACGCAGUUCGUUUCAAAGCAAACUUGAAUUUUCGCUUAUAGAAACUCCCUUCUUGCACUUCUAAGAUCUUGAUUUGUCCGACCUCUUUUUUCUUCAACACCUUUGAAAAUAUCUGGCCCCUCCGACCGUCGUUUUGACUUGAACCUUGGUGAAGAGGCAGCCAUGCCUUCUCCAGACAACAUAUGGCGUCCAUCCUUCAUAUCCCCUACUGGUUCUCUUACCGUUGGGGAUUCGGUGAUGAAGAAUGAUAUGACCGCUGCGAUGGUAGCCCAGAACCUCGUCACUCCCAAAGAUAACAGACUACUUUCCAAACGGUCUGAUGAGUUAGCUGUUAAGGAUUAUCUGGCUUUCAGUAUGCAGUGUGCAAGUUCUGUGUCUAAUAUGGCCCAACGUCUAUUUGCUCGAACCCGUCAAGUUGAAUCAUUGGCGGCUGAAGUGAUGAGUCUCAAACAGGAGAUUAGAGGGCUCAAGCAUAAGAAUAAACAGUUGCACAGGCUCACACAUAACUAUGCUACAAACAUGAAGAGGAAAAUUGACCAGAUGCAGGAAUCUGAUGGUUAGAUUUUACUUGAUCAUCAGAGGUUUGUGGGUUUGUUCCAACAGCAUUUGCCUUCGUCUUCUGGGGGUGUACAGCGUAAUGAAGCUCCAAAUGAUCAACCUUCGGUGCCUCCUCCUCCUGGGGUUCUGCCUAGUAUUGAGGCUCUGAAUAAUCACCCUCUGGUGCCUCUUCGACCUAGGGCUCUGCCGACUGCUGAGACUUCUCUUGAGCAACCUUUGUGAAGGCUCCCUCUUGUUUGUUUAUUUUGAUUUAUGUAUAUGUACAUAUUUGUAACUUAUCGGAAAUAUCAAUAAAUGAGCUUUAUUUCAUUUAGUGUCUAUAUAUAAAUAUAUAUUUCAUAUGGUGCUGAUCCACCAUUCAUUUAUAUAUAUACAUAUAUAUAUAUAUAUUUUUUCUUUUCUUUUCUUGCACAUGGUGGUGCUGAUCCACCAAGAUUUUUUAUAUUUUCUUCUCCUUUUUUUUUUUUUUUUUGCACAUGGUGCCAGAAGCACCCUUUUUCCACGUGGUGACAGCACCACUUUGCUCGACCAUCCUUUUUUUUAUUAUAUAUUUUUUCUAUAUAAAUUUGGGUGAUGGGUAGAGGAAUUUGUAGGGAGCGGAGCAAGGAGGUCGAGAAGAUGGUGCUUCGAGCUUCACGACCGGCUAGUCGUUUGACGACGGUCGUUGAAGUUCUUUGCUAUCAUGGUGGUCAUAGUGACGAGCUCGAGGGAGGUCAGGCGCUGCGGUGGAAGUAGCUGGAGAUGACGGAGAAGGAGUCCCGCUUGAUGGCUUCGUCGGGGGAGCGGUUGAGCUUCUCGGCCGGCUAGUCGUUUGACAGCGGUCUUUGAUGUUAUUGGCAGCUGCGAGGCAAGAGACGAAUGAGGUAUUUGGGUGUGUAUUGAUAAACUUUGGUUUUGUCAAUUUCAUUCAAAGGCGGCAGCCAUGGCGGAGAUGCAGAGGAAGAAGCUCCACCACUACCUUUACUGAGCACAGCCACUGAGCAUAACCACUGAGCAAAGCCAUUGCACUACCUGCCGAGCACAGCCAUUACACACCCGUUGCAAACCACUGAGCACGGCCACUGAGCAUAGCUACUGACCAUAGGCACAAAGCACAGCCAAUUCCCGUUGCACUGUCUGUCAUCACGAAGGAAGGCGAGAGAGAAAGUAUGGAGGUCCUUGGGUGUGAGUUGGCAAACUUUGGUUUUGUCAAUUCCAUUCAAAGGCAGCAGUCAUGGCGGAAAGCUGGACCUUGCGCUAUUGUUGUGGAGACCGAAUCAAUUGUUAUUGAGCAUAAGUAGAACCAGGCUGCUGUUGAUUUGAAGUAGUGGGCAUAGCUCAAGGUAAAAAUAGGAGGAGGAUGCAGAGCUGGUGGAAAAUAUGUAGUGGGCUGACCUGGAGCGGAGCAUCCUCGCUAGGCAAAAGGAGUGGGAGAGCCAAGUGGUGAUGAAAAGUCCUGCUCGUGACUAGCUACUGUGACAAUGGUUGCUCUUUGCUCGCUAUUGUGGAGGAAGGCUGAGCUUCGCAUGCUGCAAGGGAGGAGCCUUGAUGCUGGAGCUUGACGUCCUGGAGAAGCGUGGUUGAUUCGAGUUUGAUUUCCAUUGAAGGCGUUGUGCACAAUAUGCGCUCUAAACCCAACAGGUUCAAGAUUCCUUACCAAGCUCACACCUCUGCAAGAUUUGAAGCAUUUCCUCUGCGAAAGCAGCAAUUUUGCAAUCUGGGUUGCAGCAGAUUUCCGAUUCUGAUGCGUCUUUCACUUUAUCCAAUGGAAUUUUCCUGGAAAAUCUCGCCGGACGGUUCAUGAAUUGAAGAACGGUUCCGGGAACGGCGUGACUGCUUGCGGUGUUGCAGUCGGUGUUAUAGAAGUGGUUGCACUGCCCCGUAAUCUUGCACUGCUGCUGACUGUAAUAUCGAAUGCACCGUUUCCUCGCUGGACUGCAUUUAUCCCGUCCUCGCUGCCCGCAGGAUUGCGCGUGAUCCGAUGAAUCAAGGCCAUGGAAUUCGAAAACCAAGUCAACCAAACUCACAACGUCUACCUCGAAUGUUGUUCUUGGUCUUGGGUGAAGUUCACGUUCUUGGCCAUGUUCUAUUGCUUGGUAUUGUCGCCUGCAUCAGCAUAUGAUCAGUUCUCGUCGAAGUUUGCAAUCGCGACUACUCCAUUUUUUUUGAGCUACUAUUGUUGGCGUAGCUGCUUCUUCAAUGGAGGGAAGAAGGCGACAAAGACGGAGAGUAACGGAGGAGAGAGCACAAAGGGGUCUUCAGGGAGUUAGAGCAGCGAGCUCGGACGCAGGAGAUGCAGCUCUGGGCGAAGACACGAAGGCAUAGCUUUCACACACGAAGCAACAACGGCCUCUGACGACUUCAGAGCUGAUUUUCCAGGAGCUCCAGGACAAGACCGAUGUGGACGAUGAGAUGGUUGAUUUUGAGCCCUCUGCUUUCUCUGCCGUUGAUCUUGACUAGCACCGAAACCAGGCAGGAGCAGAACCCAUGAGAUCGCCUCGCAGAUGACGGCGGUGCAGAAUGAGAUGUUGCGGAUGCAGUGUGUUGUGAGGUUGGAUCUCGGCGUGGCCCGUGAGGAAGUGAGAGAGUGGAAAGUCUUGGACCGGCCCACUUUAAUAUAUAUCUUUUUUGUUUUUUUUUUUUUUUUUUUUUUUUUUUUUUUUUUUUUUUUUUUUUUUUUUUUUUUUUUUUUUUGUACAAACAAAUAAUAUUGUCUUUGUAAUGAAAUUGACUUUUAUUAGUCAAGUCUUUAAUAAAACUUUACUUUUUUAUUUUGAUGUGACUGAACUCGAAAUUGAAUAUUCAAGCUGCCUACGUACCCUUUCAAAGAAGAGAUCAAGUCAUAGCGUAGUUCAAAUAAAUUUUUUUUUCUUGGUAUUUUCUCUUGGUGCCGUUUGCAGUUUCAAUUCGUGCAGGCAAGGAACAUUGAUAUUACCUUUUAUGCUCGUGCAGACCAGGAGCUUAGUGCCAUGCAGUUUAGGCUCGUGCAGGCGAGGAGCCUCGUGUCCUACAGUUUAGGCUCGUGCGGACAAGGAGCUUUGGUUCGUGCAGUUUAGGCUCGUGCGAACAAGGAGCAGGAGUUGUCGCCUCUUAGGGGUAGUAGCGCUUUAAGAAUCUGCCAUUGAUAGGGCCGAUCUUCAAGCCGUCUUCCGCCAUGAUUAAGUAGGCGUCAUUGGUGUAGACUUCUUGUAUUACGUAUAGUCCAUCCCAUUUUGACUUGAACUUGCUCUUUGUCUUGUGAGUUGUAAUGAUAGGUCUACGCAAUGAAAGGACGAGAUUUCCCAUUUGAAAAGAACGAGGGAGAACUUUCUUGUUGAAGGCCUUGGAGAGUCGUGCUUGAUAACACUCCAAGUGUUCCUGGGCUUCGAGUCUUUUCUCAUCCAGCGCUUCCAACUCUUGAAGACGCAACUUUGCAUUCUUUUCGUCAGUCAAGCCUUCUUGUAUAGCCAUCCUUAGUGAGGGGAUUUGACUUUCGAGCGGUAGAACAGCUUCCACGCCAUAUACGAGAGAAUAAGGUGUAGCUUGGGUAGGCAUUCUAUAUGUCGUCCUGUAUGCCCAAAAUGCUUCUCCUAUUCUUUCAUGCCAGUCUUUCUUUGUUCUGCUGAUUACCUUCUUCAGGAGAUUGCACAAUGUCUUGUUGAAUGCUUCUGCAAGACCGUUGGCCAGAGCAUGAUACAUGGAGGAUUUGUGCUACUUGAACUUGUAUUUCUUGCAGAGCUCGUCCACAAGUCAGUUGGAGAACUGUUUUCCGUUGUCAGUGACAAUGUAGCGAGGCACACCAUAUCGGUGGAUGAUAUGUUCCUUGAUGAAACAGACGACAAUUUCCUUCUUGACUUCCUUCAGAGGUAUAGCUUCAGCCUAUUUGGAGAAGUAAUCUAUUGCAGCCAGGAUGUAAGCUUCUCCUGAAGAUGACUUUGGCGCAAUUGGUCCUACAACGUCCAAUCACCAUGCAUCGAAUGGCCAUGAAGCAACUGUAGGGUGUAAUGGCUCAAGUGGUUGAUGUAUGAAGUUGGCGUGGAAUUGGCAGGCUUAGCACCUUUUGGCAUGUUCCAGGCAAUCCUUCACCAUGCUUGGCUAGUAAUAACCCAUUCUCUUGAGCUAGAAAUGUAGCUUUGGUCCAGAUUGAUGCGCCCUGCAUACGCCUGAGUGUGCUUCUUCCAUGGCUUGAUUGGUUUCUUCCUCACCUAGGCAUCUCAGAAGUACACCUUCGAAAUAGCGUCGACAGAGUGUUUCUUUGUAGUAGAGGAAGCGAGGUGCUCAUCGACGUAUUUCGGAGCGGUGUUUAGGAUCAUCUGGAAGUUUUCCAUGCUCUAAGUAGUCAAUCAGCGGUUUCCUCCACUCUUCAACAUCGACUGAAAGUACUGAGAUGACAUUUGUAUCAUCCAAUAGCAUUUCAGUGACAAGGGGGAUCACCCAUCUUUGGCAGACUGGCACGUCUGCGGCUUCGUCUUCUCCUAAUGUCAUGCUUGAGGCUAGGUUGGCAAGAGCGUCUGCCAUUUGAUUUUCUUUUCUUGGCACAUGUUCUAGCGUUACAGCCUCAAACCUUCAUAGCAAUUGAGUUGCCAGUCGGAAGUAUGGGACAAGAUCAUCUUUCCUCACCUCAUAUUCAGUCAAGAGUUGAUUGAUUAUGAGCUUGGAGUCGCCAUAUACCUCAAGGGCUAUGAUUUUCAUGUUGAUUUCCAUUUGGAGCCCAAUGAUCAGUGCUUGGUACUCAGCGACGUUGUCGGAGCAUAAUUCGCUUAGUUGGAAGGAAUAAGUUAGUAUUUGCCUUUAUGGUGACAUGAAUACCACUCCUGCCCCCGCUCCGUCCGCUCGUGCAGAUCCGUCAAAGAACAUCGUCCAUGUUGGGAAGAUGUCGAUGUAAAACACAUCCUCGUCGGGCAAGUCGUCUGAGAUUUUCCAAUCAGCUGGGAUUGGGUGAUCGGCAAGAAAGUCUGUUAGUGCUUCCCCCUUGACAACUUUAGCUGAGACGUAUAUGAUCUCAUAUUGAUUGAGAAGCAAUGCCCAUUUAGCGAGUCGCCCUGUCAGACUGGUUUGGACAUGACGUAUUUGACUGGGUCAGCUUUAGCAACCAAGUGGAUAGUGUAAGCAUGCAUGUAAUGCCUGAGCUUCUGGAUGGCGAACACCAAGGCAAGGCACAUCUUUUCUAUUGGGGAGUAGUUCAACUUGGCGCCGGUGAGAGUUCGGCUAAGGUAAUAGAGUGCUUCUUCUUUCUGGGAUUCAUUCUCUUGCGCCAAGAGUGCUCCAACUGAACUUUCCUGAGCGGCGAUGUACAAUAUGAGUGGUUUCCCAGGCACAGGCGCCCCCAAGACAGGUGGACUUGACAAAUACUUUUUUAUGCUUUCAAAAGCAUUAUGGCAUGCUUCGUCCCAUACAAGCGGAACAGCCUUCUUCAUGAGUCGGCUGCACGGUUGACAACGCCCUGCCAGGUUGGAGAUGAAGCGUCUGAUGAAGGCUAGUCGUCCUUGUAGACUCUUCAGCUCGUGCAGGUUUCUUAGCUCAGGCAUGCUUUGAAUGGCCUUGAUUUUUUAUUGAUCCACUUCAAUACCACGGUGCUUGAUAAUGAAGCCAAGGAACUUUACGGAGGUGACGCCAAACGCACAUUUUAACGGGUUCAUUUUGAGGUUGUAUUUUCGUAGCCUUUCGAACACCAUUCGUAAAUCCUUCAAGUGGUCUGAUCUUUUCUUUAUCUUGACCACCACAUCGUCUACGUAACAUUCUACAUUUUUGUGUAGCAUGUCAUUAAAGAUUUUCUGCAUUGUACGUUGAUAUGUAGCUCCAGCGUUCUUCAGACCAAAGGGCAUCACCUUGUAGCAGUAGAUACCUUUUGGAGUGCGGAAGGCUGUUAGUUCCUCGUCUUCGAGAGCCAUGCGAAUUUGAUUAUAUCUAGAAGAGCCGUCCAUGAAUGACAGUGCCUCGUGACCAGUGGUUGCAUCCACCAUGAUUUCGAUGAUUGGCAAGGGGAAGUCGUCAACCUGGCAAGCGUCGUUGAGGUCCCGGAAGUCUACAUAAACACGUAUUUGUCCAGAUUUCUUAAGGACGAUGACAAUGUUGGAGAUCCACUUGGGGUAUUACACCUCUCGAAUGAAGCCUGCUUCGAUUAGCUUGUCAAUCUCUACCUCGAUUUGUGGAAUGAGCUCGGAUCGAUAACACCUUUGAGUUUGCUUUAUCAGUCGCAUUCCAGGCUUGACUGCAAGAUGAUGCACAGCGAUGACAGGGUCAAGGCCAGCCAUUUCUUUGUAGGUCCAAGCAAAGACGUCUUUGUAUUCUAAUAGCAGUUGGUAAUACUCCUCUAUCUCAUCCUCACUUAGCAGCGCACUUACGAAGAUAGGUUUCUGCUCCUAUUUUGUGCCUAAGUUGAGCUCCUUGAGAUCAUUAACCAUGGAUUGCCCCCCAUCCUCAAGUUGCGGUGGCGCAGCAGUGACAUCUUCUUCGGGGAUUUCGUCUUCUUUGCCUUCUUGGAUCGUGACGUGGAAGACAUCUUGAACCUCCCCUUCAUUGCCGUCCUCUUGGGAUUGUUGGCAUGUAAUUGUCCAGUGUGGAUGAUGGUACGCCUUCUUACUUUCAGUGGUCCAUUUGUAUCAACCUCCAAGAUUGAUUGGCGCUUCAUCCUUGAAUGAAUUGAGCUUCGAAUAUCAUUUUUUUCUGCUAGCCUAUCGAGCUUUUCUUCUUUUGACAUUGUCUCCCUAUUUCUAGAAAACUUCUUGCUAUCUUCAAGUCUUUCCAAAGCUGACCGAUGAGAAUAAGGGUUAGCCGUGUUGCUUUGCUUCUUAGGUUUUGACAACCUUUCAAAAAUAGAGCUUUGGGAUGUUGGCAUGUUAAGCCUCUUGAAGACAGAGGUUCGAUUUUGACCAUCAAUGCAAUUAAGUGCUGACGUUCUGGGCUUUGAGUGAUUCAUCCUAUUGAAGACUGACAUCCGAGGGGCGAAUUUAGGCUCCUCUUGAUCUUGUUUAGUGCUCACGCUGAUGUGUUGAGUGCUAGCAUUUUUAGCUUUGCUUGAAAUCUUCACGGGAAUUUGGUGUGAAGCCAAGUCCAGCUUUGAUGUUGUCAACUCCGUAACCAUGCUCCUUUAACUUCUUUUGAGUCUCAGUGAGGUCACGUUCUUUGUUGUUGAGGGUGUUUGAAACCUUCUUUCCAGGAUUCGAAGAAGGAACAAAGUCGUACCCAACUUUCGACAUGAGUUUAUAGGCGUUUGGAUCAAAACCUUCUUCGGUCCUCUUGGUUGGGAGAAAGCUUGGUUCCACCCCCUUUGGUAGAGCUUUUAUGAAGCCUUGUGGUAGUCUUGCAGCCUUAGCAUUGCCUAGCUAUGUCAGAGGCAAAACUGCAUUCAUCUUGAGCAACUUUACAUUAUCCCUAUGUCGCUAUGUAUCGGCUUUGCUUGCUCCAGUUUCGAACGGAGAUUGACCAUUCUUUCUUCUCGACAUCGGGAUGUAUCGAAAGACGGGUGUGUUUGGUCCAUUUGAGGGUGUCCUACUCUCUUUGGUUGUUGCAGGUUUAGCAAGCUCAUCAUCGUUCUUACUUGAAGAUGGCAUAGCUUUUCCUUCUUGCUUCUUGGGCAUGGCUUGCCACUCCUGCUUUUUAGGUGUUGCUUUGCCCAUGGAUUUGAUCUCUUUUGUAAGAGCUUCAGGCACCAUGUCUUCAUUUAUGUAGAACUUGGCAUCUGCGAAAUGUGAUUCAGCUUCGGUGAAUGGUUUGGUGUCGCCAUAGAUCACCUUCACUCCUUCUCGGUAGAAUUUUAAGCAUUGGUGAAGGGUGGAAGGUACUACUCCAUUCACAUGGAUCCAAGGCCUUCCUAAGAGCAAGUUGUAGGAAGUUCUUGCAUCAAUCACGUGGAAUAUCGGGCUCGUCUUGAGUUCACCAAUAGUCAUCUCCACUCGGAUCAUGCAUAUUUCUCUUUGUCCCCCUUGGUUAAAACCUUGGAUUAGUAGACGGCUUAGGGAUAGUUCAUCCACCUUGAUGUCGAUUGUGGUCAUUGUUGACUUUGGCAUGAUGUUUAUGGCUGAUCCACUAUCCACGAGCAUGCGGUUGACUUUGUGCUCCCUUACGUAUCCUGAGACAAAGAGAUGACGGUUAUGAGGCUUUGACCCCAGCAGUACGUCUUCAUUCGUGAAGCUGAUCGCGUCCUGGGCGGCACAGCACGCAGCACCUUCAUGUGGCCAAAGCUUCAAGCCUGCGUUCUUGCUUUCUUGUACUUCGUGGUCGUUGGGACUUGCCAAGAUCGCUGCUAGUGCUCUUCGCAUCUUCUUUGGCAAUCGUAGCGCUUCCUCGAUGCUAAAGUGUGUUGGCAGACCUUCUUCAGGUGUAAGAGUUUUUUCUCCCUCAGUGGCGACAACUUUGCCUUUUGAGGGUUCUUCCAUUUCUACUUCGACCAUGUGACAUGUAGUGAUAGUACACUGUUGAAAGAAGUCCUCCGGGAAGUACUUGUGCAAGAAGACAGGAAUGCGUGGCUUUUGCUCCACAGGUUCCCCAGCAUAUAUUGGCUUAGCAGCUCUUAUGUUUCUUUUAGGCUUCCUAUUGCUGCGGUGGCGAUGCUUUCUCCCUUGCUCCCCCUUUGGCUUUAUAGCUUGCGGUCUCGGUUUCCUCAUCCUCUUAUAGGUCACCAAUGUCCAUCCUUUGUCAUCGUCAGUAGGUGCAUCUUGGUUGCUUCCCCCCAAUGACGGUGGUGCAGAAGGUGUAGUGUGGUUUGAGUAUUGCCGAGCAUGGUCAGGCAUUUCUUGAAGAGGCACGGGAUCAAAGGAUCCGAACACGACCGUAGUGGUGUGCAUUGUAGCUGUGUCUUCUAGGUCGAGCUCAAUCCGCCCUUGUUGUGCCAACUUCAUGAAAAGUUUUUUUAGGAUGAAACAUUUGCCCACAUGAUGACCCACGAUACGAUGGUACUUGCAGUACUUGGGGCCAUUAAUGUCAUUCAUCUCUUCGGGGCGUUUGCAUUCAGGCAACUCAAUCACCUUCUUCUCCAGCAAGUCAUCCAGCAUUACGUCCAUGUCGGAGUCCAGAAAAAGGUAUACCUUCUGUUCCAGUUCCCUCAAGGUGUUUUUGUACCUAUCUUGGGUGUGGGAAGGCUCACUUCUUUUUAUCUCCUUUGAUUUGUCAUUGAAGGAGAUUUUGACGGGUGCGGAUGAGAUCUUGAUAGGGGUGGUAUUGGUGGUAAAAGCUUCAUUGGCAGGCUUUUUCCCAUGAUUGUCUGCUCUUAAAGUAAACACCUUAUCCCUUUUGAAAUCGGUGAUUGGCUCCUUCUUUCCAUGGUAGACGAUGCUCAGUUCCAUGUCGUGGGCACGGGUGGCUAAUUCUUCAAAAGUUUGUGGUUUGACACCUUGAAGGAUGUAUUGUAAACCCCAUUGCAUACCCUAGAUGCAUAUCUCGAUUGAAGAAAUCUCGAAGAGUCUGUCCUUACAGUCGAGGCUUAGAUUACGCCAUCGGUUGAUGUAGUCUAUGACUGGUUCUUCCCUCUAUUACUUCGUGCUCGUCAGCUCUAGCAUGCUCACAGUGCGGCGGGUACUGUAGAAGUGGUUGAGGAAUUCCCUUUCCAACUGUUCCCAGCUAUUGAUGGACUCGGGCUCCAGGUCCGUGUACCACUCAAAGGCGUUUCUUUUAAACGAGCGCACAAACUGCUUGGCAAGGUAAUCUCCUUCCGUCCCUACAUUAUUGCAGGUUUCGACGAAAUGUGCGACAUAUUGCUUCGGGUUUCCUUUUUUGUCAAAUUGCAUAAACUUCGACGGUUGAUAACCCCUUGACAUCCUUAAGGUGUCAAUCUUCCUGGAGUAAGGCUUCGAGUACAACGUGGAGGCAUGUGAACUCCCUUCGUACUGCGCCUUGAAGGUGCUGGCGAUCAUCUCCUGCAACUGCUUGAUGGAGAGAGAUCCCAUGAGCGCUGUUGUCUGGUUUAGCUUCAGCUUUUCUUCAGCUUUCUCCACUAUAGGCUCAUCUUCUUCAUCGUCUUCCUUCUUCAGAUGAUCAAUCUUCGGGUUGGGUUUCUCGCCGUCCUGCUCCUCCAGUCAGUUGAUGACUGCUGCAAUUUGCAAGUAUUUUUCUUCCACAUUUCGGGUUAGCCUUGCAAUUGCUUCAUUCAUCUGAGCCAAUUGCUCAUCGAUUGAAGUUGCUCCAGUGGUCAUGACUUGCAUGGCUGAACUGCCGCUUGAAUCGGCAUCAGAGAGCAUGGAUUCGGAGUAUUUCCUUGGGCUUCCCCCCUUAGUGCCCUUAGUGAGGCUAAGGUGAUCACAGACUCGUGCCUUGGGUGCUCUUGUUCUUUUGGCAUGGUUGAUGCAAGGGUGGAAGAGGAGGCAGAAAGAGCUAUUGCCUUGCUUCGAGUUAUGAUGCCCGAAAUGACAUCGCAUGCGGCGAGGAUGCUCUUGUUCUUCGCGUUGGUUGUGGGAACAACUUGAGCCUUCCUUGAUGCCAUGUGUGUUUCUUUUGGAUUUGAAGAUAGAGAUGAGGGGCAGAUAAGGUCCCACUGGGCGUGCCAAAUUUGUAAACAUGAAAUUUUCCUGCGACAAACGAGAGAAGAACACGUAUACAAAAUAAUAUUUUGUAUUAAUGAUUUAGGGGUUACAAUCUCUCUCAAAUUUGAUCCUCUGAUUCGAUCUCCGUAAGGUGUUGAUUUGUGGAUUGUGAUGCUGAUCCAAGGGCUGUCGAGGCUUGAUCUCGGAUGAAUGGUUGAAAGCUUCUUCAAGGGGGCCUUUUGGGCUUGAUCUUGAAGGUUGAUGGAUGAACGGAUCUUCAAGGGCUUUUGGGCUUGAUCUUGAAGAACGGUUGGAUAUGUGGAUUUGUUGAUGUUGUUGAUCCAAAGGGUCGUUGGGGCUUAAUCUUAGGAUGAACAAAUGAUGAACGAUGAACGUUUUCUUCAAGGGCCGUCAGGGCUUGAUCUUGAAUUGGUGGAAAUUCCUUCAAAGGGCCGUUAGGGCUUGAUCUUGAUAAACAGUUGAUGAAUGGAUCUUCAAGGGCUUUUGGGCUUUAUCUUGAAGAACGGUUGGAUAUGUGGAUUUGUUGAUGUUGUUGAUCCAAAGGGCUGUUGGGGCUUGAUCUUAGGAUGAACAAAUGAUGAACAAUGAACGCUUUCUUCAAGGGCCGUCGGGGCUUGAUCUUGAAUUGGUGGAAGUUCCUUCAAAGGGCCGUUGGGGCUUGAUCUAAAAGGUUGGGUUGACGAAGAACGAAGAGGGCUUUCUUGAUCCUUCGGGAUUUGCUUAGGAGCUUUGGAGUUGGUGAUGAAUUGGUUAUGAAUUGGUUAUGAAUUGGUUAUGAAUUUUUUUUGUAAAAUGAAUGCAUUGGCUUUCUAUUUAUAGAAUUUUCCAAGGCUUAAUUUUGAAUAUAAUAUGCAGAUGAAAUAAAUCGUUUUUUGCCAGGUGUUGACAUGUGUCCUAUUUAAUGACUUUUCCGAUUUAUUUUAAUUUUUCGAUUAGUCACACGCUACGUGUAAAAUUUAUGUGACACGUGAGCGUUGAAAUUGUAACUAUUGGUCAACAUUUAUUUCACCGAAAUUUUGAUGUCUACAAUUCUCUCUGAGAGUGACAGCCUCUUCUCUCUAUGAGUGAGAGCAGCAACAACAUUAAAGACUUUCCUCUUGUCGCCAGCCCUAAUUCCGAUUAGGGUCAGUGACAGCCCUUCCUUCUUCCUAUGCUUCCUCUUUCUUCUGCGCUUUCCCUUUUCACUCUAAUUUUCAUAGUUACAUCUGCUGCCCUCAUAUCAGAUCUUCCAUCCAUCCAUAAAACAUGUUCUUAUUUUGGCUUCCGACUCCAUCUCCGUUCCUAUCUGCAAUCAAUUUUAACAGCGAAGUGAUGCGGUCUUCAAUUGAGGUGGAAACACCACCUCUUUCUCUCUGUCUGCCAUUUAUGGCAAUGUUGUCUAUGGCGAUCCCAUGGGCUUCUUUGGUUUCUUUGAAUCAGUGGCUGGGAUCAGUGAGAUGGUAUUUGUUUGGAAGGCAAAAGUUGAUCGGUGAGAUGGUUUUCAUCUUCUAUCCAUCUCUAAGAUGUGGGUUCCUGGAAAAAGUUGGUGGUGUAGGCUCCUGACCAUCGUGAACAGUGCUUUCCAUGGUGUCAUUGAAGGAAAGCAGUUAAGGUUAGCUUCUGUGUUUUUUUGUUUGGGCCCCAAACUUUGUUUUAGGUAUUUGGGUUACUAUUGAGGUCCUUAUUUUUGCUCGUAUGGUUAUUGUAUAUGGGCUUCAAUUUGUGUAAUUAGUUGUGUUGUGGUAAUAAAGUAACCUUUUGAUAGUAAAAAUAAAAAAUAAAUAAAAAAACCAAUCCCUUUAUAUAGGGAAUUACAAUUGAGACAUGAAAUACUUUUUCACCUAACAUAUGCAUUGUAAUCACAUUUAUUUGAGUGGAAACUUUCUCGUCCACACUUGUUUUGUCUUUUUCAUGUUCUAAAAGACGUAAGGUGUUAGUCGGGCGGCAGGUUAGGGUCUAAUGCUUAGGCGCCUAGAUGAGGUUAGGCGGACUAGGCGGAUUUAAAUUUUUUUUUUUAGUACAACUAUAUAUUUUACACUAUGGGGAGGAGGAGUUCGAUUAAGCCAAUUAAUGGGCAACCUAAUUUGGCAUCGAAUUCUCCAUCAACGAGAAUCGAACAUGAGACCUCUCAUUUACAAGUGAAGAAGAAUACCACUAGAUCGUAAUACUGAGUGGGACUAUGCGGAUUUAAUUAAAUUUGCUAUGUAAUAUAUAUCGUUAGUACAAUAGUGAAUUUAAUAAAUCGAUAUGAAAGAAUGGUUACUCUUUUUUUAUCACAAAGUCAACUUGCAUUAAUAUAAAAACUAGUACAAGGCCCACAAAGGACCGGGUAAACAACUACAGGGAAAGUAAAAGGCCCAAGAGAAAUGAAAGUAACAACCCAAGGUACAACAAGAGGCCCACAUAAGCUUAGGCCUGAAGACAACAGAAAGCAGACAAUAAAAAAUCGUAACCUCAAGCAGCAAAUACCACAUCGCCGCCGUCGUCACAUCCUCGGAGGAAGCCAAACUCUGAACCGAGAAAGUAGACACCAGAUCCAAUUCUCAUUCACUAACCCUUGCAAAUAUAUACGAACAAAGUAUCAUACGUGUAGAGGGUGAGGCUAAGGGGGUAUGUAAAAUACCCAACACUUGGCCUUGAUGGGGAUACGACUUAGUUAUGAUGUUUGGGAGGGGGAAGUGAAUGAAGGUAGUAGAUUUGGUAUCUCAUUCCUGAUCAGAGCCCGCCUAUCUAAGUAUAUGGUGGGAUGGGGAUAUAGUAUCACAGCUAAGGAUGCGGGAGGAUAGAAAAUUAAAAGACAGAAAGCAGUAAAAGUAGGCAAAAGAUACCGGAUAAGGGGCAUGAAGCCAGAUCUGAGACAAGCUCAGGGGAUAGUUGAGACCCAGCUCAGGGAAAACUGAGAUAAACUCAUAGAAAACUGGGAAUAAAACAAAAGAAAUAGACUAAGAAAAGGAGAUGAAGAGAUGGAAGCAGGGAAAAGGAUGAAGCAAAAGGAAGUAAGAGGGGAGGAAAAGAAGACAAAGGCAAAUGAGGGAAUGAGAAGAGGGAAAAAGAAGACUGGAAAGAGGAGGAAGUAACGGGUUGCUACCUACCCCGAGCAAGAGCACGGGGCGGCGACUGAAAGUUAAAGCUGUAAAAGAUGUUCUGGAUCUAGGUUUCUAGAGAAAUAAACUAGGAGAGAGAAAAAAAAGGGGAGGGUAGCGGUCCCGAAAGAAUGGUUACUAAUCUAUAGUAUUUUACGAAGUAUUUUUUCAAAUAUCAUAUUAAUUUAUCAUAAUUCAUUUAAAGAGAAAUGAAGUUGUCAAGCAUGUGGGUGUAAAAACAUUUAAUCAACUAUUUAAAAAAUAUUAAAUAAAAAUGAGGGAGGGAAACCGAGACGCACCGAAUGGAAGAAGAUGGGGCACCAUUCUUAAUACACAUUCAAUUAUUGGACUAGAAUUCUCUUCCCUCCUCUUUCCAUCCCCUUCCAUCCCCUCCUCUCACAUUCUUUAUUUUGUCUUUAUCUUUCUAUAAAAAAUUAAGAUAAGAUGUUGAUGUGGCUUAACCGUUGCCGUCCAAAUAGGAGAGGAGGGAAGGGGAGGGAAAAAAAGAGGGGAGAGAAUCCAACUCCUCAAUUAUUAGGAUGCUAGCUAUCCCAUAAUACAUGUUCAGUCAAUUAGGAUGCUAGCUGUCCCAUUUGAUUGGACAAAAAGUUAAAAAAUUGUUAAAUAUAAACCGGUGAGACUUGGGAAUGGUCACAUGGGUGGAAAAGGAAGAGAGAGAAACUCGUUUUCUCUCUUAUUCUUCUCCUCUCUUCUUCGCUGGAAUUUAUAACCGAGAACACAAACAAAGCUUUAUAUUCUUCCUAACUUGGCCAUCCAGUUGAAAACAGAAAACGGAAUUGAAACGCCCAAACUGCCUAGGUCAUCUAGUUGCAUGCCUAAGGGGUCGAAGCGCCACCCUGGCCGCCUCAAUGCCCGCCUCAUCCCUUUCCCGAUUUUUCUACCAACUAUAGGUUAAUCCCGACGAUUGACCACCAUCUAGCACCUAGACGGUCGAUUUUAUCGCUUCGAUUUGUGGGCAUCCACUUGUGUAUUACAACACUCCCCAUCAGAUGCCUAUAUAUCAUUGAUAGUCACCUUAAUGCAACCUUGUUAGGAAAGACCAAAUGUGAUACAAUAGUACAUGUGCAUAUGUUCGAAGCUGCAUAUUUUAGAUGCUCCCCCUUAUCGAUAUCUCUCCCUGAUUAUAAUAAGCUUUAACGAAGCAACUUGUUUAGUUGUUGGAUGUUGAUGCUAUAUACCAGAUUCUAGAAUGUACACUUUAAUAAAGAUUUGGUGAAUGAGUUCAUCAUAUUACCGUUAGGAUGGGAUUUGUCUAACUUUGAUCGCUUCAUCCUUCUAAAGCUCAGGUGAGAGGAAAAUUUGGAGACAUGAGUUUAGUCUUGUCCCUUCUGAUAAAUCAUUCCUUUUUGUUUUAUCUUUAUGUUUGAUAGUCGAAGUUUUAUUUCUGAAAGUAGAUCACAUGUGCUCCGAAUAUGAAUGGGUCAUUGAUUUUAACCAAACACAUUCAUGACUAGCUUCAUGAAGAUAUGUAAUUUUUAAGAGAUAUGAAGCUGUAGCAACAAAUAUUUGCUUCGUUAAGCAUCGUAGAAUCAAUUUAUUUCCAUAUGUAAAUAAAAAUACUUUCUGUGAGCGAUCUUUAGAGAGAUUCAAAUUUUGCCUACCUAAUAAAAUCAGGGAUAUUAGCACAUUGGAAUAGAACAAGUACAUAUCUAUAAUUUGUCGGAGAUAACAAUUGAUAACUUCAUUUCAUUCAUAUACCCAUAUGUUGUUAUUGUGCUUCACAGAAAAUGUAAUAUUUGAUUUAGUGUAUUGUGCUAAAUACAGUAUGACACAUACUUCACUAAGAUAUGAUACUUCUGGUUUAAGUAUCAAUUUAUCAUUUUCCUCAUGAUGAUGAAUGAUUUUUCUUAGUGUCUGAAUAUUGGUUAAUCGUUUUAGUGCUCAACUAAUGAUAAUCAAUUCAUUUAGUGUUUUCCUUUUGAUGGAUAAGAAUAACGUUGGCAUAUUGCUCGAUUUGCAGCUUGAGACAAAAUUUGUCUUUUAAUACUUUAUAACAUUUAUAGACUCUUCAGAAGUUCCAAUCUAAUAUCAAUUCUUGCAACAGAUUUAGUGUGUUGGAUCAAUAUCAUAAUGAAAAUAUUGACUAAGGUAAUUUAUACCAUCUAUUGAUGUUGAGUACAUUAUUUAUGCUUUGCCCUUCCAGAGCUUGCAUUGUAUUCUUCAGGGAUUUUCUACCCCUCAUGACACAUUAUCCUUUGGAAUUUAUAUAGAGCAAUUUGUUUCUAUGUAUACUUCAGGGAAUUACUAAUGGAGAUAUGCUUCAGCAUUUCAUAACCCUUCAUAUAAUAUAUAACUUUCCAUUCAUAUGAAAUGAACUCGUUUCAUAAUGGGAAAUCAUGUUUACAAGAGUAUAUCAUGAUUUCAGAUUUCAACUAGAAACCUUGUAUCAUAUUAUGUGAGGUGUAUUUCACUGUAUUGGAAAUGCCCAUAUAUAACCUUUUGGUUUUAACAUCUUUAGGGGUUUGUAUAGUUCCAUUUUUCCAUGUUCAUAGAAAAUUGUAGUGGAAUUUCCUCUUUCCAAUUUGGCCAAUAUUUUUUGUCGAUGUUUAACGUAAGAACGUGGCUCAAUUAUUAGAAAUGUGCCCUUAAAGCCACUCAUUUGAUGUAAUAACUUUUGGAAAACUUAGUUUGUUAAACUCUUAUUUAGUUUAAUGGAAGGACAUUGUUUAUGGUUAAUCACUAUUUAAUGUAUUAUGUGUUUAAUCAAUAACAUAAUCCAAGGAAUGUAAUCAACCUAAGGGAGAAGUGAUCUAAGUAAGUUAGAUUAAUGAGACCUUUCUCUUAUGUUCAUUCCUAAUGAGACCUUUCUCUUAUGUUCAUUCCUAAAACGCUCUUAGUCGUUGGAUUGCCAAUUAGUCAUGGACAAUCUGCUAAGGCUGGUAUGUGUUAUGUUUAAAGGAAUUUUUUUGUUUAACUAAGAACAUUUGAGCAUACAAUCAUACAUAUUAACACAUUCAAAACCUAGUGAAUGACUUUAAAAAUUAAAAAGAUGAAAGAUGGAGCUUUCAUUACCCUUGAGCUCAUCCUUGCAUUACAAGGUUAUGACCCAAAUGGAGGACCUCCAAUUUCACUCCAAUUUCACUCCAAGCUCUUUGGAUGCUUCCUUGUGUUUAUGAUCUUCUCUCUUGCUUCCUUGUGUUUAUGAUCUGCUCUUUGGAUGCUUCCUUGUGUUUAUGAUCUUCUCUCUUGCUUGUGUUUAUGAUCUUCUCUUCUUGGAUGGUCGCUUCUUUCUUUUUCCUUUGCUGCAUGAAGAUUCCAGAAAAGCAACUCCUUUUUCUUCCUUUUGGUUACGAAAGACAUUAAUUGUUUCAGUAGACAAUUUCGAUAAGAACCGAAAGGAUGUAGCAAAACUCCUUACUUUGCAAUGUCAAAGGCCAAUAUCAGUCUUUCAGUGUCGUGUUACGGUUUGG